UGUAGGUACUCUUGAUAUUCCAGGGAAGGUCCUUAAUGUCAGGAAGUAAUAGUAACAUGUGGGGCAGUACAUAUACAUCUCAUUCAUGUUACUAACCAGCAAAAUUUUUAAUUUUUAGAAUGAAGAACAAACCAAUAUUUCAGUCAAAGUUUUAGAGGCCAGGUAUUUUUUUGAUAAUAUAUUUUAAAGUUUAGGAUCCAGUGUAGCUAGGUUGAAUUGUACCUGACAAAGAUUAUAGAAACACUUCAAUAUUUGGUCAACCAUGGCACCUUGUUGUUACAGGAAUCUUGGAAUGAAACAAAAGCAUGUCUCGGAUCCAUUUGUAAGAAUCAGUUUACGUCCAAAAGAAGACGGACCUUAUGAGAUGAGACGAAAAUCUGAUGGGAUGAAUUUCAAGGAACAAAAACGAACUAGUGUAAGAAAUACUAUUAUGUACUUGUUCCUCUCACCACCAACACCAUCACAUAC